GACGAACGCUGGCGGCGUGCUUAACACAUGCAAGUCGAACGGAAAGGCCCUGCUUUUGUGGGGUGCUCGAGUGGCGAACGGGUGAGUAACACGUGAGUAACCUGCCCUUGACUUUGGGAUAACUUCAGGAAACUGGGGCUAAUACCGGAUAGGAGCUCCUGCUGCAUGGUGGGGGUUGGAAAGUUUCGGCGGUUGGGGAUGGACUCGCGGCUUAUCAGCUUGUUGGUGGGGUAGUGGCUUACCAAGGCUUUGACGGGUAGCCGGCCUGAGAGGGUGACCGGCCACAUUGCGACUGAGAGACGGAGCAGACUCCUAUGGUAGGCAGCAGUGGGGAAUAUUGCACAACGGGGGGAAGCCUGAGACAGCAACGCCGCGUGCGGGAUGACGGCCUUCGGGUUGUAAACCGCUUUCGCCGGUAACGAAGCGUGAGUGACGGUAAUGGGUAAAGAAGCACCGGCUAACUACGUG
rnacentral:rRNA from 1 species